rnacentral:lncRNA from 1 species
GACCUGCCCCAACUCCCACUCCCACCAGACCAGUAACUAGAGUCCAGUGCAAACAGCACAUGGCAGGAAGAGCUGGGCCUGCUGACAGGAGAAAGGGAAUAGAUGCCCCAUGGGGGCUGGAUCAUGCACUGGCCAAGCUGGAAAUGGUUUGCAGGACGGGAUCCUAAGGCGCAAAGGAUAAAGAGGGAUAAGUGUGAAUUUAUUUAUAUGGGAGCCGCUCCCUGACACGUGUGAUUCACCGCCUGGCAAGGGCUCUGGGAGGAGGUGUCACCAUGCUGCUACGGUGACUCUUGGAACUUUGGAGAAAAUUAUGGCCCACACAGAGUAGAGCUGGAAUGCCAGGCCUGUGCCGUAGAUGGUGGAAGAAGUGGUGAGCCCAGUCUCAAUCCUUGAGCCAGUGUUCUGCCAUAGAACCUGCUCAUUAAAGAGAAGGUAGGUCCUCGGGGGCCCCUGCGCAAGUGAACACAGGAGGGAUUCCCACAGGCCUUUGCCAGAGGGGCCUACGGUCAUGUGUUCAGGACACCACGAACUGGAAACGCGGGACACUCCAGAACGGAAGUGCCUCGGCCCUGCAGUCACCUCGUGCCUCGAGUCCAUCAGGCAGGAAAGGAGCCGUCCUCCUGCAGAGUCCUUGGCCCUGACCAUCCAGAGGAGCCCCUGUUGGACACAGUGGGGCCGAAGGAGAAUAUAUUUGGUACCAGGUCAUCCCUGUGCUGUCUCAUGGCCCGUGUUGCAGGGAAGUGGACAAGUGCAGUGUCCUGACUGAAGAAGGGCCUGUGGCCAGGGGUUCACCCCUCGUGGGAAUGAAGGUCACUUUGCUGCGGGGGGAACGACCUGCACCGCAGGACUGCCAAGCGAGGGAGAAGGCACCCCAGGACUGGCAGAGGGGCGGGCACAGCAUUCAAGCAGGGCUGUCCCAGGCAUCAGGACCGCAGCAGUGAACAAAAUGGGUGGAAGCUCUUGCCCUUAUGAAGGCUGUAUUCUAGCGGGAGAGACAGACAACGAACAUGAUUGGGACUCUGGGAAGGCGCUCCUGUGCACCUGUGUGGCGACCCUGCUUUUUCUCCCUCCACUAAGGGCAUAGGUUGUAGCCUUGGAAACAACAGAACUGGUUCGGGGAUCAGGGCAGUGCGAUGAGGAGAGUCUAGGAGAGCACUGAGAUGGCAGAUUGCACACCCAAGUUCUUCCUUGGCCGUGCCCUUACGUACCCCUGUCCCAUAAAGCAGAAAUACAGUUUCCUCCUUCCCAAAUCUCGCAGUCCCUACAGCCUGGAAAGAAUCACCCACGGGGGACCCAGCGCCAACUCUGCACGCCACUGGACUGCUUCUUACGAUAGCUCUACCAGAUGGAAAAUGACUGCAACCUCCAUCAUUCAUGUUGGCUGGGAAUCGGAAUCUCUCCCCAGGUAUUAAGCCAAAGCUCCAUUCCAUGUCAUCAGCUCUGAUUGGGUCAUGGACCCUAAACCAACCAUUGUCAGCAGAUGAGUAGAACACACUGAUUGACUUGGGCUAAGUCUCACAUGCCUUUCCUGAGCUGAGGGUGGAGUCUUGCACAGGGACUAAGUCGCACUGCGAAUGACAGGGUUUGUUUUGACAGUUGAGUUGACAGGACUGGAUGAUGAAUUUUAAAG